rnacentral:rRNA from 1 species
AUGGGAGAGCAAGUUGCAUCAGGGGGAGAGUCCGAUACAAUUGAUGAAGAUCACAUAGAUUCGAUGCUGGCCUCCUUGAACAUGUGCAUUCCCCGGAUUGCGUGGACUGGAGCAAUGAUGGUGGUUGGGAGUGGCAGGCCUGGAGACGACGUGGACGAAGAUCCUCCGUGCAAUGGUGUGAUACUGCUUGGCUGGCAUAGUGAAGACCGUGAAGCAGAAGCUGAGUCUAGCAGCGAAGGUGUCCGUGCUAACCAGAAGCGGAAAAUCCUGUCGCCGCUUUGUGGAUGUGGUUACAAACUGUCGGCCUGGACUGUUUCAUCGAGAUGA